AUAUGCUGUUAACACUGCAUUUCCUGCGUAUGAAGCUGGUAGCGGAGGUGACAAUCUUGGCCUAAUAUUCACAGCAUAAAGAAUCGUCGACACCCUUUCCAGAUCUUGCCCUAUUUCUUCUUCAUCAUCAUCAUCAUCUCCAAUAUCAUAUGACAAAGCCUUGCACCUCCAGAUGUGAGCGGUCACCACGUUGAAGGCUGAAAUGCGGGCAUUAUGGGUCUUGGCUUUCUCUUUCAGGUUGGAGAUGUCAGAGGAGGUUAGCUUGAAAAUCUUGAAGUCUAGUGCUUCUUCGGAAACGUCGAAGACCGGAGCAUUUGAUUCUUGGGCUAGGGGAGUGUUGAGUUUGAGCAGCUCUGGGUGGGGGAAGGU
rnacentral:misc_RNA from 1 species